GAAAAUCCCAAUUUCUCCGAUGCCUCAUUCUUCAGCUUAAACCCGUAAUGGGUUAUUAUUAAGGGCUCAGAUUUGUUGUAUUUCUUAACAAAACAAAAGAGAAAAGUGACGCCGCCAUGGCUGCAGACACCAGUUUGCUAUUCAAAGCCUUAACUGGGUCGCCCUGCCAAUACGGGUCGUAUUUCCCUCAAUUCCGUGAUUGAACAUAGCCAAGAAGGGGAAGCAAGCAAUCAUCACAGCCCCUUAACAACAUCAUCAUCAGAAGCAACACAGAGAGAGGGGAAGAUCAAGACAACUAUAGUUCAUCCAAUUUUUAUUUUAUUUUUUUUGUUUAUUUGAAAGGGCUGUUGAUG
rnacentral:misc_RNA from 1 species